rnacentral:tRNA from 1 species
GGAGAGGUGCCGGAGUCUGGCUGAACGGGCUUCCCUGCUAAGGAAGUGACGGGCUCAAACCUGUCCGUGGGUUCGAAUCCCACCCUCUCCGCCA